rnacentral:rRNA from 1 species
GAUGAACGCUGGCGGCGUGCCUAAUACAUGCAAGUCGAGCGAACAGACGAGGAGCUUGCUCCUCUGACGUUAGCGGCGGACGGGUGAGUAACACGUGGAUAACCUACCUAUAAGACUGGGAUAACUUCGGGAAACCGGAGCUAAUACCGGAGAAUAUAUUGAACCGCAUGGUUCAAUAGUGAGAGACGGUUUUGCUGUCACUUAUCGAUGGAUCCGCGCCGCAUUAGCUAGUUGGUAAGGUAACGGCCUACCAAGGCAACGAUGCGUAGACGACGGGUGUGGGGGAUAGGCCGCCUGGGAGGUGGACCAGGCCCAAGGGGACUGCGAGACGGCCCAGACGGCUAUGUGCGGCAACAGGCGGGAAUAUUACACAAUGGGGCGAAGCCAGAUGCAGCAAUCCCGCGUGCGGGAUGAUGGGCUACGGGUUGUAAACCACUUUCGCCGGAGAUGAAGCGGGAGUGACGGUAAUGGGUAAAGAAGCACCGGCUAACUACGUG